GGUUGGAUACAGUAUACUUUAUUGAUGGUACACGAUAAGGUAGGGCUCCCCAAGCCCCUCCCCUUCUUCAGGGGGUCUGGGAUGGAAACUGGAGGUCAGGAGAUUCUCAAGUGUGUUGGGUGAUGAACGGGGGCAAGGACUCCCCAGCAGCUGACGGCCUCUCUCUUCUUCCUCUUGCUGGGGCUGGUGGUCCAGGGGGCUCUUACUCCUUGGAGGCCAUGUGGACCAUAAGGUCCACCACCCGGUUGCUGUAGCCAAAUUCAUUGUCAUACCUGAAAGAGGAUCAAGAGUUCAGGCUUAUUUUCAUGAACCGGCCACCAGAGGGCGCCACACCCCCAACCACACCCCAGCAGCAUACCAGGAAAUGAGCUUGACAAAGUGGUCAUUGAGCGCAAUGCCAGCCCCAGCGUCGAAGGUGGAAGAGUGGGUGUCACUGUUAAAGUCGCAGGAGACAACCUGGUCCUCAGUGUAGCCCAGGAUGCCCUUGAGGGGGCCCUCUGAUGCCUGCUUCACCACCUUCUUGAUGUCAUCGUAUUUGGC
rnacentral:lncRNA from 1 species